rnacentral:rRNA from 1 species
GCGGUUAGACGGAAAGACCCCGUGGAGCUUGACUGUAGCCUGAUAUGGGACAACGGUGUUCCAUGUACAGGAUAGGUGGGAGACGGAGAAGCUUGGGCGCCAGCCUGAGUGGAGUCGGCGUUGGGAUACCACCCUUGGGACACGGUUGUUCUAACCGGCCUUGUGAGGACGCGAGGCGGGACAGUGUCAGGCGGACAGUUUGACUGGGGCGGUCGCC